UAGGGAAUCUUCCACAAUGGGCGCAAGCCUGAUGGAGCAACACCGCGUGAGUGAAGGAGGGUUUCGGCUCGUAAAGCUCUGUUGUUAAAGAAGAACACGUAUGAGAGUAACUGUUCAUACGUUGACGGUAUUUAACCAGAAAGUCACGGCUAACUACGUGUCAG
rnacentral:rRNA from 1 species